rnacentral:lncRNA from 1 species
GUCUUUGUUGAUUUCAAACAGAAACUAAAAUGCAACCCAAGGACUCAGAUGAGAGCAGAACUUCUAGAAAGUGAGUCGAAAGCAAAGGAGCGCAUAUACUCUCUGCUGCAAAGGCUUCUGAGAAGGAGAAGUCAAGAGUUUGAUGUCUUUGUCAUCCCUGCUCGGGCAGCAGGAUACUUUCCCAGAGGCCAUGGAGACAGGACGCCUAGGUGCCCAAGCACUGCAGAGAUGGGUGAGUAUGGCGUUACCCCAAAAUGAUCCCACCCCAUGGGUAUGGACACUUCACUCUAAAUAGCAUUUCUAAAGUUAUUUCACCCUG